rnacentral:rRNA from 1 species
UACGGAGGGUGCGAGCGUUGUCCGGAAUUAUUGGGCGUAAAGAGCUUGUAGGCGGUCUGUCGCGUCUGCUGUGAAAAUCCGGGGCUCAACCCCGGACUUGCAGUGGGUACGGGCAGACUAGAGUGUGGUAGGGGAGACUGGAAUUCCUGGUGUAGCGGUGAAAUGCGCAGAUAUCAGGAGGAACACCGAUGGCGAAGGCAGGUCUCUGGGCCACUACUGACGCUGAGAAGCGAAAGCAUGGGGAGCGAACAGG